rnacentral:rRNA from 1 species
UACAGAGACUGCAAGCGUUAUUCGGAUUCACUGGGCGUAAAGGGUGCGCAGGCGGUUGAGUGUGUCAGAUGUGAAAUCCCGAGGCUCAACCUCGGAACUGCGUCUGAAACUACUCGACUAGAGUACUGGAGAGGGUAACGGAAUUCACGGUGUAGCGGUGAAAUGCGUAGAUAUUGGGAGGAACACCAGUGGCGAAGGCGGCUCACUGGACCGGAACUGACGCUGAGGCGCGAAAGCGUGGGGAGCAAACGGG